GGAUCUGAGGGCUGUCUGUGACAUCUGUCACCCUGCGGGUCACCAGGGUUGAUUUGGGCUGAUCAGAGUUGACAGGUGAACAUUCCCCCUUCUCUAUGUGUGUCUCCCUCUCAAAGCUCUGUGCUCAGUAGACAAGGGCAACCUCCCCAACAGAGGAGAACCUUUUUUUCAGUCAAAGACAAGCACGUAGCUGUGCUCCCCUACCAGAACCACCAAACACGCUCCCAGUUCAAAAGUUUCCACUUGGUGGGGAGUGGGGUGGUUCUGUGGCGUUUGCUUGCCAGACGUGGCUGUAGCUUGCCAUCAAGUCACAUUGACAAACUCU
rnacentral:snRNA from 1 species